rnacentral:misc_RNA from 1 species
GAUGAAGAACGUAGCGAAAUGCGAUAAGUAAUGUGAAUUGCAGAAUUCAGUGAAUCAUCGAAUCUUUGAACGCACAUUGCGCCCCCUGGUAUUCCGGGGGCAUGCCUGUUCGAGCGUCAUUUCACCACUCAAGCCUCGCUUGGUAUUGGGCAACGCGGUCCGCCGCGUGCCUCAAAUCGACCGGCUGGGUCUUCUGUCCCCUAAGCGUUGUGGAAACUAUUCGCUAAAGGGUGUUCGGGAGGCUACGCCGUAAAACAACCCCAUUUCUAAGGUUGACCUCGGAUCAGGUAGGGAUACCCGCUGAACUCAAGCAUAUCAAUAAGCGGAGGA